rnacentral:rRNA from 1 species
UACGUAGGGCGCAAGGCGUUGUCCGGAAUUAUUGGGCGUAAAGAGCUCGUAGGCGGCUUGUCGCGUCGAAUGUGAAAUCUCAGGGCUCAACUCUGACAUUGCAUUCGAUACGGGCAGGCUAGAGUUCGGCAGGGGAGACUGGAAUUCCUGGUGUAGCGGUGAAAUGCGCAGAUAUCAGGAGGAACACCGGUGGCGAAGGCGGGUCUCUGGGCCGAUACUGACGCUGAGGAGCGAAAGCGUGGGGAGCAAACAGG